rnacentral:rRNA from 1 species
AGACAGGUCGGUCUCUAUCCUUUGUGGGCGCAGGAGAUUUGAGAGGAGCUCUCCCUAGUACGAGAGGACCGGGAGGGGUAGACCGCUGGUGUGCCAGCUGUUCCGCCAGGGGCAGGCUGGGUAGCUAUGUCUAUUAGGGAUAAGCGCUGAAAGCAUCUAAGCGCGAAGCUCGCCUCAAGAUUAGAUCUCCCAUCCCGUCGCGAGACUGGGGGUAAGACCGCAAGAAGACUACUUGUAGAUAGGCGGCGUGUGUACGCAUCGUGAGAUGCUUAGCUGAGCCGUACUAAUGGUCGAGGCUUUGACCCA